GCUGAUCGACGGAUCUCGUUGAGUUCCUCGCAAUUCCGCCUUGGUUUCUCUUUUCUUUCUGGCUGAUUCUCUUGUCCUACAUUGUAUUUUGAUUCUUUCCUGUUGUAGACCCCUUUGGCUCAACUCGAUGAUCGAUCGAUGGUGCAGAUGUGCUUGCUGUAUUUGGUUCUGUUCUCUGUUCUUCUUUUGGAUCUCUAGCGUUGCAGAUCACCGGGAGAUGAUCUUCCGCUUGCAAACCAGAUAGCUGGCAAGACCAUGGAGGUCUCUGGCGCUCUUCGUCGUCUCGGUUUGUUUCAACUCCAAGCUGCCUGAGGCGGUAACGAGGAUGUGUAUGUUCGAUACCGGUCGACUUUCUUCUCUGGCGAAGUAGGUUCGCGGCCAAAGGCCUAUAUCCUAUUUCUUGCUUUCUUCCAUGGAAGAUCGGAUGUGGUGCUGAUCUUAUCCAAGGACGCGUCCGAGAAAGGAAGUCAUGAAGCAAAUAGUGUUCGAUGACCAUUAGAUUAAGUGCAACGAAACUGGACUGGGGAUCUUGAUGGAUGGGGGAAGGUAAUUUGGACCUAUACAUGUUCUAUAGACCUUUGCCAUGUUGGGUGCGCUCGCAUGGCAGGUCGCUCAUCGUUAAUAAAAUUUUCCUUUUCUUGUGUGGGAGGAGAGAUCGCACGGGGGUAAUUAUUUUCAGCCCCGGGUUCUCUCCUCGUGUGCUGUUUCUUUCCUCUCUGGCAUUUCCAUCUAUCUACCGAUCACACUCCUGUAGUUUCCAUCGCCGUUUAAACCUCAUGACCACAUGGGAUGCAAGCUUCGUGGCCAUUUCUCCAAAUCAGUGAGGUAUAGAUAGUCUUCCCCUUUGUUCUUCGCAAAUCAGAUUAAAUGUCAAAUUCUUUACUACUAAUUUCGUGCACCUAUAACUGCUACAAAUUCUGAUUAUCGGAUAUCAUUUCAAUUUAUUAUAUGCCAAUUUUCCAUUGGAAUCAAUUUUGCAAUUUAUUUGUGCUAUCUUAUAGUUGUCAUCGGCUACAUUCUCUAAGAUGAUACUGAUACUGAAGGAUGAUUCUCAUUUAGGGAAAUGCCUGUAAAUAUGUUGAUAUAGUAUAUGCAUCUAUAUAUGCAAGCUUCAAAUAAUUUAACUGCCUAUUAUUUCUGCCACAAUUAUUUACUCAUUUGUUUCUCCUUCAGGGCAACCACAAAGAACAAAAAAACAUUGAUGCUUACUAAGGUUGCAUGAUAUUAUUAUUUUCACAAAAUUUACAUGUUACGGCGGUGACCAUUAUGAGGUUUUCAAUCUUGUGAUGUGUGGAAUCUGGUGGUUAAAUUUUCAUUGUUAUGUUGUUGUUAUAUCGUGAUAUUUCUCUUAUGCUGUCAAAGUGAAUAAUUGAAUCAACUAUGAUCGAGUGUUGUACCAUGCCCCAGAUCUGUCCGUGAUUUGGACAUACACUAUGUACGUGCUCAGCCUGCUUUUAAAAUCUGAGUGAACGAUGGUAUCACGGCAUCGUCUUGAAAUUUCUUCCUUGGGACUUUUUGACUUGGUUACAACUACUCUUAAGUCUGUCUUUCUUCUUUUUUAUGGUUCUAUUUAUUCGGUGAGGCUGUCAUGUGAUUGGUUCAAAAAUAUGCCAAAGCCUCUUUUAAACUAGUUGCUGCAGAAUUAGUAGCGGUAUAAUUUCCGUGACGUACCCAUGCCGUACUCCUGAUCUUUUGCUGUUGAUGUGGAUGUUGGGAAGCCUUUGCCGAGGCAGCAGCUCACUGCUCCCUGUGCCCUGCCGUGAAGGCGGAGUGCGAGGUCGGAAUCUGUCUCCCUAAGCUUUAGUUGACAAGGUAAUGAAUGGUUUGUACUUUCAUAAUAUAGCUCCACUAGUUUCAACUAGUAUCAUUAUUAUUAGAAAUUCGUCCUCUCAUUUUGUGAAAGACUUUUUUGCAACUGAAAUUUCUUUUUCUUUUUUUUAGAUUCUUUAGAGUAUCUGUUCGUUAUUUGACCAGAUAAUGCUGAAUUGAAUACAGAUAUUGUUAAUUGUAGAGUAAAUAUUCUUUGAUUUAAAACUUAGGAUGUUCAAUUCCAUUUCGAAUUUUGUAUAAUUUGUCAUGUGGUGGCAGCUGAAGCUGCUGCGGGGUGUGCGAACCAGGAAGCAACCAAAAGACUUAUGGCGUGAAAUAUCAUCCACGUUUGAGUGGUAAAUAUUUGAUCAUAAAUGGUAAAAAGUAUAUCAUCAUGACCAUUAUCAAAUUUUCGUUGUGGUGUAAGACCUAAUAAAUUUCGUCCUCCGAGUAAUUUCCAGAUUUUGAUUGAAGAGAGCAUCUCUCACUGUCAUAUAUAUAUAUAGACACCUAAUCAGUUUGUGGAUCCUUGAGCUCCAAAAGGCAGGAGCCCUCCGUCAUGUGAGGAUGGCGGUUCGAAUCCGCCAGGAUCCGGACAAUCUUGAUACAGCGGUGGCACUCUUUUCAUUAGAAUAUGGUUGAUGAACUUCCUCGUGCUGUCGGAUGACUGUCCAAAGUCACUUCCAUAAGCCGUGUUUUAAGAUUCAUAAAGAAAAGAGUUUCCAUAACGGCACCCAAUAAUAUUCUACUGUGCUAAAAAAAAAUCAGGAAAUGUGGAUUUUUUUCUUCAGAAUUUGAAAUCGUUGUAUUGUGUACUCAGUAGCUUAAAGUUAUGUGGUUCCGUGUGUAAUAUACACAGAAUAUUUUGAUAGCUCGAGGGCUCAUCUCCAUGAUCUAUCAGGUAGUACUCGUGUUCUUGUUGCAUCCGUAGACAAGCCCGAUAAAGAAACAUUGCUUUCUAAGGUUCUAAUGUUGCUUGGUGGACACGAUCUUUCAGGUUUCUUGCUGUAAAGUGCGUGCAUUACAGAUUGCUGAUGAAGUCAAGCUGCGUCAUUGAAGCAUUUCCCUGUUCGAGCACUCCAUACCGCUGCCAGACACGUCAAAGUCUGGAGGAGCUUCAGAGUAGUUCCCUUUGUUGAGCGAAACACAAGUUGCAAUGUGAAACCACUGUACAAUACUCCAAAAACACCACCAGCAACUGACAAAAUGACACGAGAAAAGAAUCACAGC